ensembl:lncRNA
CCAGCAGCUUGAUGGUCCAGUGUAUAACUUGGAACACAAUUGAGCUGACUCUGAUGGGCUUCACCAUCCCAGAACAUACAAUCCGUGACUAAAUGGAGGGCAUCACCUGUGCUCUAAAGGCCAGACUGGCACCUGCUAACAAGGUCUGCAAGGUAAAACAUUGUCCCCCUCCAGAAUCCAGACUUUGAUCUCAUCUUUUAGCAGCAUCUUAGACCAGUGUGUUUAUGUGGGUGUUCAGGCCUCCAAAGCCUUCACAAACAGCAACGGGCAGGAAGCUUUCUUAUGAAAAAGAAAAGGAAAAAAUGCCAGUUUUCACUGGGUGAAACGACUAUUUUCUGCAUACUAGUUUGAGACUGAGCCAAAGCUGUGAAAGCGGACUAUGAUUUUUGACCCUUCUCAUAACUACUUUCCCUCAUCUGUAGAGGUGAGUAAAAUCAUGCUAAGUACACUGCACUUCUAGGCUCUGAUGAGGAGAGUCAAACAAAACCUGUAUAUAGAAGUUUUAAUGCUGAUAUGGCUAAGAUUAACCUCGGAUUGAGCCUGAGGUUUGUAGUUGAGAUCAGCUACAGCUGCAACACCUGGACCAGAGUUUCACUGGAGUCAGGGGAUCAGAUUGCUUUGGCUUGGACCCCUACUCUACUGUGGACACUUUUUCAUUAGGCUAAUCCAUGGUCCCCCAGAUUGGCCCCAACAUCACCCCAAUUUUGUGCCAUGGUUGAUGAGGUGGUGUUGCAGAGCUGGAAAAUACCCUCAGAUCUCAAAAGAAAGAUGCAAAGUCCUGUAACCAAGUUAUGCUUAUUCCUACAUGCUCACACUCAUGGCAUAUCAGGAACUCAGGGCAGCCAAUUUUUCAAGCAGUGCUAAAACAUGUAUUUCACAUUGGUGAAAGGGAGGGACACCGAGCACUUAACCCUGCUCUUAGCCCUUCCCCCAGUUUUCUCUUUCUUGAGCCUGAAUUCAACUGGAAGCAUUAUUUUUAGAGCUGUUGAAUUUAACCCCAAACUCACCCACCCUUCCAGAAUCCUACUGUUGUGCCACAGUAAUGAUGUAAUACACAGUCAUCCCAUAACCAGGACUUGUACAGCACAAAGCCCAUUUGCACCCAUCAGAGUCUGCAAGGCAGCAUCAACCGAUGACUUAUCUUCUGGAGCACUGAAGGAAUUGAGUUCUGCCGAAGAAAUUAUUUAUGAAGAUUUUCCAAGUUGCUCAGAGCUUCAGAUGGAGGAGGUUGAAUAUGACUUCUUUAAUAAAACAGGCUGGGAUGUCAUGAAUGAGUUAAAAGGUCACAGGAAGGAAAUGUUGAACUUACGCAGCAAAAUAUUACAGACAAGGUGCUGAUAUCUUGCCUUUCUGAAGGCUAGCGUUUGAAGCCAGUCUCACAAGGACCAAGAACCUUGUGGUUAAAGAAUGAUCAUAAAAAGAGGGAGAAGAUCAACAGGAAGAUUUUAUUUUAAUACAACAAUCCAUAAAGAAAUUAAAUCUCUUGUGAGAAAGAAACCUUUGAUUUUAAAGUUAAAAUUCUAACAGAAGGUUUAAGGUUUGAAAUAACAGAUUUUUAUAUUAAAGCUAAGCUCAGAACUGAUUGAAAACUAGGGCACAUAAGGCUUCUUAGACCUCUUUCUGCCAUCUAUCUUCACUUCAACAAGUAUGUGAAACAUGAAUUCUUUAGAUAUAUAAACUCUCAUGUCUAAGCAAAACACUGGUAGAGGACUCUCUAGGAGUACUCCAGCUGCCAAAUCCAAUGCUUUCCAUAAUCAGGCAUCAGUCUGGAGUACAGCGUGAUGUACAGCUGUAGUGAUCCUGGUGGGUGAGCUUCUUAUGGCCACUGAGAGAGGGAAGAUGUGUAUGUUACUGUUACUUGAUCCAUCAACAGCCUUCAACACCACCAGUCCCUUGGGUGCAGCUGAUUCACUUACAGGACCUGGCAGGCCUGGAUGUGCAGCUCUGUGUGGACUCUGCAUGUUCCUCUUGGACAGAUAACAGAAGACCCUCCGUCAUGGGAUAUGUAGCUUUCAAUCCCAUCUUCUGCCUUUGCAAACGUAUUUGUGGGAUCUAUCAUCAAGAGCACUCGCACAGUUGCCUGUCUACUUUUGCAGAGGCAGUCAAUGUUAUUGCCCAGAUGUCCCAGUGCUGGUGAGAAACAAGUACAUGGAUGAAAAGAAGCUGGAUCCAAUUCUUUGUGGAUAAGACACGGUGAGUUUCACAGGGAAAGGGAAUACUUCAAGGAUCUCACCUUUUGUAGAAGGUUUACCCUACUGAUCAUCAGCAUGAUUCACAGAUCCAAACUUCAGCUGGGAGUGCUGUCACUCACAAGUGCACAGGUGGCAAUGCUGAGGAAAGUCUUCCUUUUUAAGGGGCUAGAAAGAAACGUAUGCUCAUUUGC